rnacentral:rRNA from 1 species
UACGUAGGGGGCAAGGCGUUGUCCGGAUUUACUGGGCGUAAAGAGCGUGUAGGCGGCCAAACAGGUCCGUUGUGAAAACUGGAGGCUCAACCUCCAGACGUCGACGGAAACCGUGUGGCUAGAGUCCGGAAGAGGAGAGUGGAAUUCCUGGUGUAGCGGUGAAAUGCGCAGAUAUCAGGAAGAACACCCGUGGCUAAGGCGGUUCUCUAGUACGGUACUGACGCUGAGACGCGAAAGCGUGGGGAGCGAACAGG